rnacentral:tRNA from 1 species
GCCCCGGUAGCUCAGGGGAUAGAGCACCUGACUUCUAAUCAGACGGUCGCGGGUUCGAAUCCUGCCCGGGGCG